rnacentral:rRNA from 1 species
UCCUACGGGAGGCAGCAGUGGGGAAUAUUGCACAAUGGGCGAAAGCCUGAUGCAGCGACGCCGCGUGAAGGAUGAAGUAUUUCGGUAUGUAAACUUCUAUCAGCAGGGAAGAAAAUGACGGUACCUGACUAAGAAGCCCCGGCUAACUACGUGCCAGCAGCCGCGGUAAUACGUAGGGGGCAAGCGUUAUCCGGAUUUACUGGGUGUAAAGGGAGCGUAGACGGUGAUGCAAGUCUGUUGUGAAAGCCCGGGGCUCAACCCCGGGACUGCUUUUGGAACUGU